AUCCUGCUUGAGGGGCGCUAAAUAAAUACAAUUCCAGACACCAUGGAAACCAGGCAAGAGUUUCCAUAGUUACACACAGAGGAGGAAUAAUGCUGCUCAUCUGGAUUCUCUUUUAACAUGUUCUACGCUUUCAAUGUCUGCCAGAGAACAAGUGACAUGAUGGAAUAGCAUAGUGUGAUUGAAAACCAGAUGGCAUGUUAUCAGAAACAGAUGCUGUAGAGGAAGUACCAUUCUACAAAGAUAGACAUUUUGGAAGUUUAUAAUGAGAAAUGAGGAGCUUUGCGUCAAAUUUAGGCCUAUUAUACUGUGAUGGUAUGCAGCCUU